UUAGUUGGAGGUUACAAUGAUGCUGGUGAUCACGUAGAAUAUGGAUGGAGUUCACUGUAACAAUGCUUCCAUGGAGAGUAACUGUGUGUGGAACUAUUUUUUGCCAACUCUGAUGAAUAUGGAGACACUGUUGAGGAAAUAAAAGGGAUAUUCAUUAUAGCUCAUACUUACAUAAAUUUUCUGGACUAAGUCACCGGAGAUGGUCUUAUUGAAGAGAUCGGAGAGUUGUUUGAUGCCAGUCAAAGGAAUUCUUGGAAGCGUUUAGUAAUGCAAGAAAGUUAGAAGCCACCUAAUGGAAUGAUCAAAUGUAGUUUAGAUUACUGACCAGGAAAGGAAUUUGCGAUGCUUCUAUUAUGUGCAGGUGUGGUUGUGAUACCAAGCACAAUUGAAAACCACUAACAUAUACCGAAUACUCCAUCAAGCCUGUAACAGAAGUUGGAUUUAGAACAAUGACGAUUUUGUGAUAGAACUAAUUUCCAGUUAAAGUUUAUGUAGGAUUAUAUCUGUCUUUUCGGACAGCAGAUUAUGCUGCAAUGAAAACAAUGAGGUAAGCUUUCACAAUUUCAGUUUCACUGUCGCGUGGUAUGUCUUUGCUG